CCUCCGUUUUCAGUGCUUCAGUCGCGCGACGACGCUCUCGGACGCUUUAGUCAGUCGGUCGGUGACGAAGCUCCCAAACGUGAUA